ensembl:lncRNA
CACACGAGUGCAUGAAUAUAUAGCGAAUAUACACGUACACAUGUCCAAGAUGUGGUCUCAUACAGACUAUAGACCAACAUAUAUACCACAUUAUAUACAUGAGUAUAUAAUACACGUAAAUGGACGUAUAAGCCAUCACAGAUACAUGCAUAACCACAAACAUACCCUAACAUGUAUCCAUACACUUACCUACAUGCAUGUGCACCUAAUAUAUGCAUGCACAAAUAUAAGAACACCAUACACUUUUGCAUAUACACGAACGUAAAUACACACAAAGCAAUAUAGAUAAAUCUACACCAUACACAAGGUAAAUAUACACAAACACAUAUGCCAUACAAAGCAUCAUAAAUAUAUAUCAUGUGCACAAACAUAUUUGUACAUAUGUAUACACAUACACAGGCAUAAACCAAGGCACAUACAUAGAGUUUGAUAAACACACAACACAUAAAUACAUGCCAUGCAUAUAUGUAUUUAUGAAACAUGUAUCAUAUUCACAUAUAUGCGUAGUAUGCAUAUCGUGUUCUGUGUGCAUACAAAUGUAUGUUGUGUUUAUUGUGUUUGCAUGACAAAUAUAUAGAAUAUACACAGACAUAAACAGAUCUCGUAAUGUAUACACCAUAUAUAUGCACAUGAUUGAUAACAUCUUUUGGGGUUUUGUUUUUUUCUUCAAAAGAUUUAUUCAUGUUGUGUGUAUGAGUAUUUUGCCUGCAUGUCUAUCUGUAUACAACAUGUGUGCCUGGUGCCAGAAGAGGGCAUUGAAUCUCCUAGAAAGGGAGUUACUAUGUGGGCGCUGGGAACUGAACCCAGGUCCUCUGAAACAAGUGCUCUUAACUGAUAAGCCAUCGCUCCAGUCUGGUUUUUUUGUUUGCUUGUUUUUGAAAUAAGGUCUCACUGUUCAGUCCUGGCUGCCUGGAACUCACAGAGAUUCUCCUUCCACUGCCUCCCAAGUGCUGGGAUUGAAGGUGUGCACACCAUGACAGAUGUGCCCUGCCUUUCUACAAGCAGCUUUUGACUCCAGAUUGAGGGUGGAAGAUGAUUGUGGCUUGAGUGAAUGCAUAAACACCGCCAUCUGCCUCACACCUCCCAUGUAGCACAGACUGAUAAACGAACUAUUCCUGGGAGUAGAAAAAAUGUUGUCCUACAAAUUUAUUGGGAUAAGUUGAGACCAUAGGGGUAAUUGGGUACUUAAAUCUUAUCAGAGAAAUCAGGCCCAAGGACUUACCCAGCAUGCCAGACUGCUGGUCCACCUGCUCCCUCAUCAGGACCUGAACCCACCCUUCCUGCUCUGGAUCUGCUUUUGCCCUUCCAUCUCUGCAGCCGGUUGUACCUUUACUCUGAAGCCUGGCUCUCCCAUAGGCUUGAGUGUUCUACAGCAACACCUUCUUUCCUGCACUGGCCUAGGUUCCUUAUUCUACCAAUGCAGACUUUAUUGUAUUCCUCUCAGCCCACUUUAAACAACACAUUUUAAACUAUUGUGGGCUUUUUGCUUUUCAGUUCUGAGGAUUGGAUUUAGAGCCUGAUACAUGCUAGAUAAGGGAUCUGUCACAAACCGGGUAUAGUGGUG